AUAGGAGAUAAGAAGGCAUCUUUUUAUUUUUAAAAGACCUAGCAAUAGGUAUGCUUAGGGAAGAGCUUGCGUCACAUUAGUUAGUUGGUGGGGUAAUGGCCUACCAAGACGAUGAUGUGUAGCCGGGCUGAGAGGUCGAACGGCCACAUUGGGACUGAGACACGGCCCAAACUCCUACGGGAGGCAGCAGUAAGGAAUUUUCGGCAAUGGAGGAAACUCUGACCGAGCAAUGCCGCGUGAACGAUGAAGUAUUUCGGUACGUAAAGUUCUUUUAUUAGGGAAGAAAAGAUGGUGGAAAAACCAUUAUGACGGUACCUAAUGAAUAAGCCCCGGCUAACUAUGUGCCAGCAGCCGCGGUAAUACAUAGGGGGCAAGCGUUAUCCGGAAUUAUUGGGCGUAAAGGGUGCGUAGGCGGUUAAAUAAGUUUAUGGUCUAAGUGCAACGCUCAACGUUGUGAUGCUAUAAAAACUGUUUAGCUAGAGUUGGAUAGAGGCAAGUGGAAUUCCGUGUGUAGUGGUAAAAUGCGUAAAUAUACGGAGGAACACCAGAAGCGAAGGCGGCUUGCUGGGUCUUAACUGACGCUGAGGCACGAAAGCGUGGGGAGCAAACAGGAUUAGAUACCCUGGUAGUCCACGCCCUAAACGAUGAGUACUAAACGUUGGAUAAAACCAGUGUUGAAGUUAACACAUUAAGUACUCCGCCUGAGUAGUACGUACGCAAGUAUGAAACUUAAAGGAAUUGACGGGACUCCGCACAAGCGGUGGAUCAUGUUGUUUAAUUCGAAGGUACCCGAAAAACCUCACCAGGUCUUGACAUGCUUUUGCAAAGCUGUAGAAAUACAGUGGAGGUUAUCAGAAGCACAGGUGGUGCAUGGUUGUCGUCAGCUCGUGUCGUGAGAUGUUGGGUUAAGUCCCGCAACGAGCGCAACCCUUGUUGUUAAUUGCCAUCAUUAAGUUGGGGACUUUAGCAAGACUGCCAAUGAUAAAUUGGAGGAAGGUGGGGACGACGUCAAAUCAUCAUGCCCCUUAUGACCUGGGCUACAAAUGUGAUACAAUGGCUGUUACAAAGGGUAGCUAAAGCGUAAGCUUCUGGCGAAUCUCAAAAAAGCAGUCUCAGUUCGGAUUGAAGUCUGCAACUCGACUUCAUGAAGUUGGAAUCGCUAGUAAUCGCGAAUCAGCAUGUCGCGGUGAAUACGUUCU
rnacentral:rRNA from 1 species